CUUCCACACUACUCUGGAUUUGACCACCACCACAGAGAAUAACUUUUCUUUCUCUAAAAGACAAAGGUGAUCGCUAUGCCUGGCAGCACAAACCAAGCAGCUUUCCCCUCCUCCACACUAAGCAUUCUGGCUAGGGCACAGCAGCCUUUAUCGCUGCUCACCAGUUCCUAUUCCCCUCCCUGUAUCUUCAACUCUUCAGCAAGAGCCCACAGCUGAGGGAGGAAGUUAAAGGAGCCAUCAAGCAGCCAGGGAGCACAGUAGGCUGAAAGAUCCUUGGUUGCUUUAAAGCAGAGAUAAGUUUUGUGCUGACAUGACUGCUCAGAUUCAGCUGCCAGUGCAUCUGUGGGAGCAGGUGAGUGUCCGGCAGAGAGACACACCACAUCAUCUCUUUGCAUUUCAGCCAGCCUGAGCUCAUGACAGGUGCUGGGCUGCUGCCUGCUAACUGUACCCUGUACACCUCACAGAUAGUGAAAUCAAGGGGGGAGGUACUGGAUCCAUUGUUGGUGCCUCCAAACCUGAGUGUAGGGUGCUAGAUUCCCUCAAAUAAAAACAUGCUAAAAAAAAAAAAAAAAAACUUCUCACUUGAUGUCGAUAGUGUUGCUAAUUAUCAUCCUGACUCUAAGGUGGUGUUUGGGGCAAGGUUGUGUUAAUGGUAAUAGCAAGGCAACUUCGGCACCAUCUGGAAUCCUCUCAUGGCUUGGGUCUCCUCCCAGCAAUAGACAAAGCUCAAGUGUCUAUGCUGUAGCUUUGAUGCUGUUGACGAUAAGGUUUUCUCUCAACUGUGGAGCCUGGCUGGAGUAGACUGUAUGGUAACUCACCUUCCCUUUAAGCUGUGCGCAACAUUCCAUUUAACUUGGUACCUACCGCGCAUCUCACAUGGCUUGGAGCACAGCCAACACCUAGAACAGCUCCUCUUGGUGCUGGGGAUGGGCUGCCAGACGCGCCCGGGUGGAAGGCCAAGAUGGCAGCGAGGUGAACCCUCAUGGAGAACACUGCCAGGUCUUGCUGUUUCAGAUGCAGGAGGUAGUCCAGAAUGAGAGGCACUGACUCCCGGAGGGGGUGUGUGCAGCGAUGGUCACACCAACACGAAAAAAGUGCUUCCACUUCGCCAGAUAUGUGGCUCUAGUAGAGGACUUCCUGCUGCCAAGCAGGACCUGCCUUACGGGGUCCAAACAUAAAGCUCCAUAGGGUUCAGCCAUGCAACAUCCAUGCUGUGAGGUGGAGAGACCGCAGGUCGGGAUGACAGAGGCAACCAUGAUCCUGAGUAAGCAGGUCAGAAAGAAGAGGCAAUGGGACUGGAACCUCCACCGACAGCUCUAACAGCGUGGUGUACCAACUCUGGUGAGGCCACACUGGAGCCACCAGAAUCACCCUCGCCCCAUCUCUGCGGAUCUUGAGCAGGACCUUGUGCACAAGGGGGAACGGAGGAAAGGCAUAGAGUAGGCAACCCAUCCGAGGAAGCAGGAAAGCGUCCGUGAGGGAGCCCGGGCAGUGACCCUGAAAGGAACAGAAUGUGGGACACUUCCUGUUGCUGCAGGUGGCAAACAGGUCCACCUGGGGAAACUCCCACCUUUGGCAGAUCGAGUGGAUGACAUCUAUUCAGAGAGACCACUCAUGCAAGUUGAAGGACCUGCUGAGGUGGUCCGUCAGCAUGUUCUGGAUCCCGGGAAGAAAGGACACAACUAGGUGAAUGGAGUGGGCUAUGCAGAAUUCCCACAGCCAAAUGGCUUCCUGGCUGAGAGGGGAGGAAUAUGUCCCCCUUGCUUGUUGAUGUAGAAAAUGGCCAUGGUGUUGACCAUGAAAGCCACCACCCAAUGACCCUGCAGGUGCUCCUGGAAGGCUUGGCAAGCAAGGCACACCACCAUUAACUCCCUGAUGUUCAUAUGGAAGGAGAGCUCGACCCACGACCACAGGCCGUGAGUCUGAAGGUUCCCCAGAUGAGCCCCCCAUCCCAUAGCCGACGCAUCUGUGACCAGAGACAAGGAAGGCUGGGGACUCUGGAAAGGGACUCCCUUGCACACCACUUGGGGGUUGAACCACCAGCAGAGGGAGGUGAUGACCCGCUUCCGGACAGUGACCGCCAAAUUCAGGCUGUCAUGCCCUGGGCAAUAGACGGAGGCGAGCCAAGCUUGUAGCAACCGGAGCCAGAGCCUGGCAUGCCGGGUCACAUAUGUACAUGAAGCCAUGUGGCCGAGGAGGCUCAGGCAUCCCCUUGCUGUCAAGGUCGGGACUCGCUGAAGGCCUCGAAUGAUGCCCAUGAUGGCUUGGAAACGGGAGUCCUGUAGGAGGGCCCGUGCCUGAACAGAGUCCAGCACCGCCAUGAUGAAUUUGAUCCUCUGGAUUGGUUCCAGGGCAGACUUUGGCACGUUGAGGAGACCCAGCCAUUCGAUGGUAAACCUGACCAAGUGGAAGAGGGACUGCACCUGCUCUCUGGUGCAGCCCCGAAGCAACCAGUCAUCAAGGUAGGGAUACACCUGUACCUGCCGUCGAUGGAGGAAGGCAGCCAUGACUGACAUACACUUGGUGAACACUCGUGGAGCCGUGGAAAGGCUGAAUGGAAGGACCAUAAACUGCUAAUGUUAGUGGUUGACCACGAAGUGCAGGAAGUGCCUGGGCGCCAGAUGAAUCGCUAUGUGGAAAUAUACAUCUUUCAUGUCAAGGGUGGCGUACCAGUCUCCAGGAUCCAGGGAAGGGAUAAUGGUGCCCAGGGAGAACACGCAGAACUUCAACUUUACCAUGAACUUGUUGAGCCCGCAUAGGUCCAGAAUGGGCCAGAAACACCCAUUGGCCUUGGUAAUCAGAAAGUAUGGGAAGUAGAACCUCUUGUCCCUUAGUUCCUGCGGAAACUCCUCUACCGCUCUCAAGCACAACCUCAGUACCUGAUUGAUCAGCUGCAACUUCAAAAUCACGUGAAUUUUCAUAUUCAGGAUCUGCAGCGUAAGGAUUCACUACAAUAGCAAAGGUGUGAUCACCACCAACCUAAGUCACAACAAUGGCACUGAAAAAAUCAGGUUGUGUAUGUGAGUGCAAAUACCCAUCAGUAGAUGCCUCAAGGAAAUGAUCUUGAAUAUAGUCAGAGCCAAAAUCACUCAGGACUUUAAAAAAAACAAACAAACAAAAAAAAACCACAGGCAGUUCUAUCACUUUCUAGACAGCUACCAUGAAGAAAGCAGAGUGGGAGCACUUUCUGACCAGUGGUGCUCAAAACACUGCCAGUUGCUCUUGUGAGGAUGUCCUAGCUGCAGACCGCACAAAUGGAGCAAGUGAGAAAUCAGCAAUCACAGAAACAGAUUUCUUGGCAAGUUAAUCACAAGAGGAAUUGCUUUCAUUUUUGGUCACACCUCUCUCCAGCGCCAGUGACAGGGUGUCUCAGUCAAGACUGCCUGCUUAUGAAACUCGACCCACUCGAUACAAAGGUAAUAAGUAACUUUUCUGGGCCCAGCAGCCAGCAAUUUGAAACAGAUUAUUUUUUGCAACAAAAAUUAUGACAGAGCUAUAGAUGACAGACAGAUGGGAAAACAAGAAAUGAAAAGCUUAUGGGUCAAAUUUAAGAUGCUGUAGAAAGUGGUACAAGUUACACACCAGGAACUGGGUGCAAGGAGGCUACAAGGAUGUAGGUCAUUUACACACUUGCGGGAGGAGUGGACAUGACACAAGUUAAAGUGUGUGGUGGGAGAGAGGGGUUAUUUACAUACACCUUCCGACACCCUCCUGUUAGUUGUUUUUCCUGCUGUAUUUCUGUCUUCCAGCCCCUGCGUCUGCAAGGUAUACUAUUUUACACUCCCCCAGGCUCACUUACACUCCCCUCUUACUGGCCUAUAUCUUAACACCACAUAGCCUCUGAAUUUGUCCCACUGAAUCUGCUCUUGGGCGGAAAGCAUCUUCUUAUGCCAUUGCCUAUGUUAACAUAGGAGUACCCCUCCUCUGAACCAGAAGCAACCACCAUGGCUGCAUAGGCCAGCAGGGUUCAUGAGGGCUGCUUUUCAGUUGGCCCUUAGUCUUACUUAACUGUAUCACAUAUACCAGUGAAAUAUUAGUUUUUGUUCAGAAAAUGUCGUGCCCUGUAUAUGGCCCAUGCUUAGCCUAGCUAUCUGAACUAACAGCCUUGCAACUAAAUAACGCACCGAAGGUGAGGAGCUUUUUUUCUUCAAGGUGAAUUUUGUUCCGUAGACCCAUUGCUAUACCUCAUUACAACAUAAAGACAUGAAUCUGCUGGAGAUAAUAGACUGACAUUUUCACCUUUUCCAUGGGUUUGGAUUCUUACAGUGUUUUUCCUACUGAUAAGUUUUAUUGAUUUUUUUUUUUUUCAUUUUUAAGCUUUUCAGACUUUCUGUUGUCAUAUUACAAAACAGUGGGUGACUAAUUUAGGAACACAUUACCAAGGGGAGUGGUGGAUCGUGUGUCGUUUGAUAUCUUCAGAUCAAGACUGGAUGCAUUUCAGGGAGAUAUGCUUUAGACAAGCACAAGGUAUUGGGUUCAAUACAGGGGUAACUGGCUGAAAUUCUCUGGUCUGUGACAUACAGAAGGUCAGACGAGAUGAUCUAAUGGUCCCUAUUGGUCUUAAACCUUCUUACGCUAUGAAUAAUACUACUUUGUGUGGAUCCUUCAUCUUUAUGGAGAUUUACAAACAUUAAUUCUCAAAACCACUCUCUGAAGUAGGUGUUAAACUCCUUUUUACACAGGGGAAAACUGAAGAACAGAGAGAUUAAAGGUUAAAUUUCAAAAAAAAGGCCUUGAAUUUGUUUGCCUCCAUUUUCCAGUGUCCAUUUCUAGACUACCUGGGCCUGAUUUUCAGCAGUACUGAGCAUUUACAGCUCUUGAUGAAGUCAAUGGGAGCUGUGAUUCUUCAGGACCUCUAAAAGUCAGACCCAAGGAGUCUAGAAAUAGGCACCCAAAAAUUAAGGCACAUAAAAUAAGAGGCUGUUUUUUUUUAAAUUGGGCCUCAGUGACUUAUCGAGAUGGGACAGUGUGUUAAUGGCAAAGCUGGAAAUUGACUCUCUUGAGUUCUGACUCCCAGCCUGCUACUUCGAUUAGCACACCCUCCCUUCUUCAGAUAUUUGAGUGAUUCUCUUUCUCUUGACAAACCAAUAAAUAUUGUUGCCCCUCUAUUUCUUAUAGAAUCAAAGGAAUAUAGGGCUGGAAGGGACUUGAUUUCUUGAAGUCCAGUUUCCAGCUCUGAGGUAGGACCAAGUACACCUAGAUUAUCUCUGACAAGUGUUGGCCCAACCUGUUCUGUAAAACCUCCAGUGAUGGGGAUUCCACAACCUCCCUUGGAAACCUAUUCCAGAACUUAUCCACCUUUAU